rnacentral:rRNA from 1 species
AAGGAUUAGAUACCCUGGUAGUCCACGCCGUAAACGAUGUCUACUAGUUGUCGGGUCUCUUGCAGACUUGGUAACGAAGCUAACGCGAUAAGUAGACCGCCUGGGGAGUACGGCCGCAAGGUUAAAACUCAAAUGAAUUGACGGGGGCCCGCACAAGCGGUGGAGCAUGUGGUUUAAUUCGAAGCAACGCGAAGAACCUUACCCGGCCUUGACAUCCUGCGAACUUUCUAGAGAUAGAUUGGUGCCUUCGGGAACGCAGUGACAGGUGCUGCAUGGCU